rnacentral:rRNA from 1 species
GAUGAACGCUGGCGGCGUGCCUAAUACAUGCAAGUCGAGCGAACAGACGAGGAGCUUGCUCCUCUGACGUUAGCGGCGGACGGGUGAGUAACACGUGGAUAACCUACCUAUAAGACUGGGAUAACUUCGGGAAACCGGAGCUAAUACCGGAUAAUAUAUUGAACCGCAUGGUUCAAUAGUGAAAGACGGUUUUGCUGUCACUUAUAGAUGGAUCCGCGCCGCAUUAGCUAGUUGGUAAGGUAACGGCUUACCAAGGCAACGAUGCGUAGCCGACCUGAGAGGGGGAUCGGCCACACUGGAACUGAGACACGGUCCAGACUCCUACGGGAGGCAGCAGUAGGGAAUCUUCCGCAAUGGGCGAGAGCCUGACGGAGCAACGCCGCGUGAGUGAUGAAGGUCUGCGGAGCGUAAAACUCUGUUAUUAGGGAAGAACAAAUGUGUAAGUAACUAUGCACGUCUUGACGGUACCUAAUCAGAAAGCCACGGCUAACUACGUG